UACGUAGGGAGCGAGCGUUGUCCGGAAUUACUGGGUGUAAAGGGCGUGCAGCCGGGAAGGCAAGUCAGAUGUGAAAUCCCGCGGCUCAACUGCGGAACUGCAUUUGAAACUGUUUUUCUUGAGUACUGGAGAGGCAGGCGGAAUUCCUAGUGUAGCGGUGAAAUGCGUAGAUAUUAGGAGGAACACCAGUGGCGAAGGCGGCCUGCUGGACAGCAACUGACGGUGAGGCGCGAAAGCGUGGGGAGCAA
rnacentral:rRNA from 1 species